UAUCGAGUUUUGAACGGGUUGUAGCUGGCCUCAUACGGGGCAUGUGCACGCCUGGCUCAUCCACUCUUCAACCUCUGUGCACUUAUUGUAGAUCGGUGAUAAGGUCGAGUUCUUUUAUUAGUUCUUGACUGGAAACCUUUCUACGUUUUUACUACAAACGCUUCAGUUAUAGAAUGUUUAUCUGCGUAUAACGCAUCUUUAUACAACUUUCAGCAACGGAUCUCUUGGCUCUCGCAUCGAUGAAGAACGCAGCGAAAUGCGAUAAGUAAUGUGAAUUGCAGAAUUCAGUGAAUCAUCGAAUCUUUGAACGCACCUUGCGCUCCCUGGUAUUCCGGGGAGCAUGCCUGUUUGAGUGUCAUGGAAUUCUCAACUCUUAAUACUUUUUUGUAUCAAGAGCUUGGACUUGGAGGCUUGUGCUGGCUGCUCGUUCAGUCGGCUCCUCUGAAAUGCAUUAGCGUGAAUUAAUAUGGAUCGCUUCGGUGUGAUAAUUAUCUGCGCCGUAGUCGUGAAGUACUUUAUAACGUUUACGCUUCUAAUCGUCCUUCACGGGACAAUUAAACCCUGACUUUUUGACCUCAAAUCAGGUAGGACUACCCGCUGAACUUAAGCAUAUCAAUAAGCGGAGGAAAAGAAACUAACAAGGAUUCCCCUAGUAACUGCGAGUGAAGCGGGAAAAGCUCAAAUUUAAAAUCUGGCAGUCUUUGAUUGUCCGAGUUGUAAUCUGGAGAAGCGUCUUCUGCGCUGGACGUACAAGUCUCUUGGAACAGAGCGUCAUAGAGGGUGAGAAUCCCGUCUUUGACACGGACUACCAGUGCUUUGUGAAACGCUCUCAAAGAGUCGAGUUGUUUGGGAAUGCAGCUCAAAA
rnacentral:rRNA from 1 species